CCUACGGGAGGCUGCAGUGGGGAAUAUUGCACAAUGGGGGAAACCCUGAUGCAGCGACGCCGCGUGAGUGAAGAAGUAAUUCGUUAUGUAAAGCUCUAUCAGCAGGGAAGAAAAUGACGGUACCUGAGUAAGAAGCCCCGGCUAACUACGUGCCAGCAGCCGCGGUAAUACGUAGGGGGCAAGCGUUAUCCGGAUUUACUGGGUGUAAAGGGAGCGUAGACGGAAGAGCAAGUCUGAUGUGAAAGGCUGGGGCUUAACCCCAGGACUGCAUUGGAAACUGUUUUUCUAGAGUGCCGGAGAGGUAAGCGGAAUUCCUGGUGUAGCGGUGAAAUGCGUAGAUAUUAGGAGGAACACCAGUGGCGAAGGCGGCUUACUGGACGGUAACUGACGUUGAGGCUCGAAAGCGUGGGGAGCAAACAGGAUUAGAUACCCGGGUAGUC
rnacentral:rRNA from 1 species